rnacentral:rRNA from 1 species
AGUGAUGUAGCAAUACAAGGGGGACGGCUCAGUAACACGUAGUCAACCUAACUCGUGGACGUGGAUAACCUCGGGAAACUGAGAAUAAACCACGAUAGAUCAUAGUGCCUGGAAUGGCUUAUGGUCCAAACAGUUUACUGCCAUGGGAUGGGACUGCGGCCUAUCAGCUUGUUGGUGAGGGUAAUGGCCCACCAAGGCGAUUACAGGUACGGGCUCUGAGAGGAGAAGCCCGGAGAUGGGUACUGAGACACGGACCCAUGCCCUAUGGGGCGCAGCAGGCGAGAAAACCUUAGCAAUGUGCGAAAGCACGACUGGGUCAGUCCGAGUGAUUCCUGAUAAAGGAGUCUUUUGCUUGUCCUAAAAGCACAGGUGAAUAAGGGGUGGGCAAGUCUGGUGUCAGCCGCCGCGGUAAUACCAGCACCUCGAGUGGUCAGGACGUUUAUUGGGCCUAAAGCAUCCGUAGCCGGCUCUGCAAGUCUUCGGUUAAAUCCACCUGCUCAACAGAUGGGCUGCUGGAGAUACUACAGAGCUAGGGAGUGGGAGAGGCAGACGGUAUUCAGUGGGUAGGGGUAAAAUCCUAUGAUCCAUUGAGGACCACCAGUGGCGAAGGCGGUCUGCCAGAACACGUUCGACGUUGAGGGAUGAAAGCUGCGGGAGCAAACCGGAUUAGAUACCCGGGUAGUCCCAGCUGUAAACGAUGCAAACUCGGUGAUGCAUUGGCUUAUGGCCAAUGCAGUGCCGCAGGGAAGCCGUUAAGUUUGCCAAAAGGGCCGUACGGCCGCUGUCUGAAACGGGGGGCCCAUAAAGAGG